AUCCCGAUGGUGUAAUUGGUAACACUGCAGAUUCUGGUUCUGUUAUUGAGGGUUCAAGUCCUUCUCGGGAUG
rnacentral:tRNA from 1 species